rnacentral:misc_RNA from 1 species
GUCGACUUAGAUUUGGAGUGCGAUCCGAAUCCGAGUCAGGGCCCAAACCCGGAUUAUUUCUUUUCCCACCUGGGCAUCCCGCGCUGAGUCUCUGAAGGAGUAAUUUCAUCGAGCAUUUAGCGUGCAGAAAUCUAGAAUGGAAGGAAUCAUGAAAGGCAGCAAAGCUACAGUCUUAACUCUAGCCGAAAGAUGCAAGAAUAUACUGGCUUCAAAUUGGCAAGCUUACCUCAAUACCAUCAAAGCUGACGCCCAGGGAAGCAAGAAGGAAAUACACACUUCAAAAGUUAAAUACAUACUUAAGAAGGGGAAGCCAUAUAUCUGGGUACCUGAAAAGGAUAUGCAUAAUGUGAACACAAUCAUUGAUGAACGUGGUUCGUUGGCUGUCGCAUGUCCCUUUCCUGGCCCCCUAGCAAAUUUAUUCAGAUCAAUAAAGAAGUUACCUGCACGAACUGCUUUAACUGGGGAUGUCUGCCCUCUUAAAGAUGAAAAGGCUCAGUUGGCUAUGGAAAGUGUUAAAGAAGUCAUACAGUCUGAACAGAGAGUGAUGAAUGAGUCCACUUAUACAGUUUCCGGAGUAUUAAAUUCUUCUAAUAUUAUUAGUACAUCUCGAUGUGAAAGCCUUAAGGAGCUACUUGAUGGAGGUGAAAAAUAUUGUGUUUAUAGGUUCAAUAUAAGGUCGUGUACGUUUGUUGAUGGCUAUGGACACACUCAUGAAGUGGAAUUGGAAGAUUUGGAGAUGUCUAAAGUAGACCCCUUGGCACCAUUUUCUGCGAAGCUAAUUGAUGGCGUUAAUCGAAGUGAGGCGAGGCGUAGAGCCCUUAUACUUUUUUGUUUGAUAUACCUGAAUGCAAAUGCAAUAGUAAGAUACCCAUCUUUAUCGUGCUUUAAUAGAGAAUAAUUGAUUUUGAAUAUUACAUGAAAACAAUUGUCAUCUAGUACAUAAUUACAUAGGUUAUUUUUGUCAAUUAUGAUAGCUGGAUGAUAUUAUAUUAUUCAAUGGUUUUUUUUUUUGGUGGAAAACCGGGGAAUAGAAGAAAACACAAGGAUUCACUUGAGGCGCUUUGCCUUGCUGCUUUUGCUGCAUCUUCAAGUUUUGGAACAAAGCAUCAAAUGCACGAACCUGUUGUAGUUGAACGUUCCUCCUUGUAAGAUGUGUCCUACUGAUUUUAAGUUGUCAAACAACUUUUAGGAAUUAUAUCAUAUCAACAAGAGAUCAUUAAUUAUGAUGUAGAGUUUAUUCAAUUCUAUAAGAUAUUUCGUUCAUAGAUGCUGCCCACUUAGGCUUGGUAAAAGAUUUGUGGCCCACCAUCAUAAG